GGUCAGUUUGUUCUGUGAUGGAUUUAGAGAGGACUCAGAAGCGAGGAUGACAAUCACAGCUCCUUUAAUAACAAAUGGCAGGAUGACCACAGGCAAAGAUGAGCAGAGAGCUGGAGCAGUAGGGACCCAGAAACCCUCAGGGCCGGGAUAGCGAGCAAUGAAGAAGGAACACAGCCUCAGACUCCUAGCAGACAGGACUGGACUGGACUCAGACAGAUGCACGCAUCGAAACUUACGAACAAACUGACAACAAGACAAGGAAGAGAAGGUAAGAAAAAGCCAAGAUAAUGAGGGGGGGAACGAGAGACAGGUGAAGAGAGAUGAGCCUAAUGAAAAGUGAUAACAGCUGUCAGUAAUGAAAGUGAAAGCGGCAAGUGAGUGAGUGAACGAAUAACCAGCAGGGGGAGACAGAGAACGAGCCAGGAUCA